rfam:Chelonia mydas contig173317, whole genome shotgun sequence.
GCCUGGCUAGCUCAGUUGGUGGAGCCUCAGGCUUUUAAUCUGAGGGUCCAGGGUUCAAGGCCCUGGUCAGGUG